rnacentral:rRNA from 1 species
CAAACGACUCUCGGCAACGGAUAUCUCGGCUCAYGCAUCGAUGAAGAACGUAGCAAAAUGCGAUACUUGGUGUGAAUUGCAGAAUCCCGUGAACCAUCGAGUUUUUGAACGCAAGUUGCGCCCGAAGCCAUUUGGUUGAGGGCACGUCUGCCUGGGCGUCACGCA